CCACUGGGAUAAGGGGGACAAGUCCCGCUCGGGGCCGUGUCCCUUUAAGGGGCGCGCGGUGUGUGUUCAUUGAAAAAAAAAAGAACGCGCGGGGGGGCGGGGCCCAGCGGCGUCACGUGACACGCGGGCGCCUGGGCCAGGCUCCUCCAGUGUGCGGCGGGUUCUGCCGGGCCCUGAGGGUUCGGAUUCUGGAAGGGGGGUGGAGAUGAGAUGAAUUACUGCGGGGAUCUAAUUGGCCUUGUUUCUGCCGCGCUUUAAAAAAAAAUGGAGGAGGAGGAGGACGAAGUGUCAGAGUAAAAGUCUGUCUCGACUUGGGUGGUCAGGAGCGGUGGCUGCCCCCAAUUUGCCUCAUUGCUGAUGCAUGCGAGUGCUGCAUUCCCAGCGAUAAUGUUGUUCCUAAUCAAUCUGCCCUUAUUUACAUUUGUAAGCAUUGUUGGCUUUAAUAUGCAUGCCCUGCGCAUGUCACCGCGGCUCCGCACCCGGGGCUCUCCCCCUCUCCUUUCUUUGCCCUAAACUUCAAGGAUCCCACAGAUCGGAGUGGUGAUAACACGCCCGGCUCCUCGCCUGCAGGAGGCCUGCCUAGGUGGCACCUCCCGCCGGCACAGCUCUGCCUUCCCCCGGCCCGGCUCGCUCUCCCCGGGUGGGCAGGGCCCGCCCAGCUGGCCCCUCCGGGUGUCUGGCACCAAAGACCCGCCUUCUUAUGUGCCCCCUGGGGCCUGGCAUCCCGGAGGAGGAGGCUUGCAAGGGACCUCGAGAGGUCACAUGUAGUCCAACCCCCUGCUCGGAGCAGGACCAUCCCCAACUGGAUCCUCCCCGGCCAAGGCUUUGUCCGCCCGGCACAGAUGCCCCGUGGAGGAGUUCAGCCCCGAGGGGUAGGGGCUGGGAGGUUGCUGAUGGCUUCACGGCGACUCUUGCAGCGUGUUAGGGGGCUCCCCCCGCCCCAUCACUGCUCUGCCUGUAGCAUCCGGUUACAUGAAUAAAGGAAGGACAUUGAAAGAAAA